CCUCCUGGUGCUUCGGAGCUCAUUAACUGUUUAAUAAUUGUAAACAAAGCCGCCAAAGAUGGAGAAAAGAUGUACAUGUUCGUAAAUGCUUGCGUAAUUGCUUCGUGAAUCUGGCCCGUGGAGCCGCAAGAGCUUCCAAUGUUUGAACAAGUCUCUCCCCGGACGAACGUGACGAAGAGACCCACCACCACACAACGCAAUGGUCAAAGGUCACGAUGGCAGUAGGGAAGGCCAAGAGGGGUUGACCUGUAUGAAACUGGGUAAGGGUCAAGAGAUGUGGAUGAGAGGACUACAAUAUAAUACAUGUAAGAUAUGAAAAUACAGUACAUAUUCCC